AACAAACGCUGGCGGCGUGCCUAACACAUGCAAGUCGUACGAGAAAGGGUCUUUCGGGAUCUGAGUAAAGUGGCGCACGGGUGAGUAACGCGUGGAUAAUCUGCCCUUCAGUUGGGAAUAACUCAUCGAAAGGUGGGCUAAUACCGAAUAAUGCUGUGAGACCUCGGUUGAUCAGUCAAAGAGAGCCUCUGCUUGCAAGCCCUUGCUGAAGGAUGAGUCCGCGUACCAUUAGCUAGUUGGUAGGGUAAUGGCCUACCAAGGCGACGAUGGUUAGCUGGUCUGAGAGGAUGAUCAGCCACACUGGAACUGAGACACGGUCCAGACUCCUACGGGAGGCAGCAGUGAGGAAUCUUGCGCAAUGGGGGAAACCCUGACGCAGCAACGCCGCGUGAGUGAGGAAGGUCUUCGGAUCGUAAAGCUCUGUCGGAUGGAAAGAACCGCAUAGGGGUAAACAGCCCCUGUAUCUGACGGUACCAUCAAAGGAAGCACCGGCUAACUCCGUGCCAGCAGCCGCAGUAA
rnacentral:rRNA from 1 species